GGCUCCAUAGCUCAGCGGCUAGAGCACUGGUCUUGUAAAGCAGGGGUCGUGAGUUCGAUCCUCACUGGGGCCU